rnacentral:rRNA from 1 species
UGAGUAACACGUGGGUGAUCUGCCCUGCACUUUGGGAUAAGCCUGGGAAACUGGGUCUAAUACCGAAUAGGACCGCGCUCUUCAUGGGGUGUGGUGGAAAGCUUUUGCGGUGUGGGAUGGGCCCGCGGCCUAUCAGCUUGUUGGUGGGGUAAUGGCCUACCAAGGCGACGACGGGUAGCCGGCCUGAGAGGGUGACCGGCCACACUGGGACUGAGAUACGGCCCAGACUCCUACGGGAGGCAGCAGUGGGGAAUAUUGCACAAUGGGCGCAAGCCUGAUGCAGCGACGCCGCGUGAGGGAUGACGGCCUUCGGGUUGUAAACCUCUUUCAAUAGGGACGAAGCGCAAGUGACGGUACCUAUAGAAGAAGGACCGGCCAACUACGUGCCAGCAGCCGCGGUAAUACGUAGGGUCCGAGCGUUGUCCGGAAUUACUGGGCGUAAAGAGCUCGUAGGUGGUUUGUCGCGUUGUUCGUGAAAACUCACAGCUUAACUGUGGGCGUGCGGGCGAUACGGGCAGACUAGAGUACUGCAGGGGAGACUGGAAUUCCUGGUGUAGCGGUGGAAUGCGCAGAUAUCAGGAGGAACACCGGUGGCGAAGGCGGGUCUCUGGGCAGUAACUGACGCUGAGGAGCGAAAGCGUGGGGAGCGAACAGGAUUAGAUACCCUGGUAGUCCACGCCGUAAACGGUGGGUACUAGGUGUGGGUUUCCUUCCUUGGGAUCCGUGCCGUAGCUAACGCAUUAAGUACCCCGCCUGGGGGAGUACGGNCCGCAAGGCUAAAACUCAAAGGAAUUGAC